UUAGAUCUUUGUUAUGUAUAAUUUCAUUACAGUUUGUGAAACAGACAGCUUAUAUGGAAGAAAUGUUCAAGCUGGUAGUUCAGGAAGUUUGGAGUGGAUACCUAACUGAGAUCGACAAUCCGCUGCAACGCCGAAGGUAAUCGAUCUAUCGAUGAAGUUAAUCCACUCAGCAUAAUCCUGGUCAAAUCGAAUAGCCAAAGCAAACUCUACUUUUUCACAAUCUUCACAACAUAGCCCAGCAGUUUCAGACAAGCGUGGCUUUAGUUCGGAAGACUCCUGAAUUCGAUAGUAAACAAUGCGGACGUUUUCUUGCAGAAAUAGCAAAGUUCGACUGUUUGAUCGAGAAUGAAUAUUACUAGAACGACCACUUAUCGCUAAAAAAAAAUGAAGGGCAUGGAGGAUUCGUCUAUCCAGAAGUGGAAUAGGAUACCAUAAGUGGAGGCCCGAGCUUUUUGAGGAGUUGAAAGUGAUUGAAUCAUUUCUGGUACACCGCCUUCGAGUUAGCACCACUGAAGCCACUAAGGGUGCCAUAAAUUGCUGCACCAAGGGAAAGAAU